UGGUGAGUUCUUACCCAUUCUGCAGCUCUGUAUACUUUAAGUGUAGCAUUUAGGCUAUUUGCAUUCAAUGUUAUUAUUAAAAGGUGAGGUACCACUGCUUUCAUCAUGAUUUUUGUUGUCUGUAUACUUUAGUGCUUUUUGUUUUUUGGUUUUUUUUUUUUUACAGAAAAGUCAGCAUUAUAUUUUAUUUCACAUUGAUAGAAACCAUGAAAAACAUUUACAUUUUCCCAUGUUACAGCACAACAAUUCAAUGGAAUAUUUCUUGCCAUAAAUAAUAUCUUGCUGAUAUUUAGAACUGAAACAACUAUUUAUGUUCUUCAAGGUAAAGAAAAAUGACAUAGUAAAUGAUUGUUUAAAAUGUUUAAAUCCAGACAUAAACAUAUGGCUUCAUUAUUAACAUCCUAUAUAGUCUGUUACUAAAUUAUUUCCAUUAUCGAUUAGCACCCAUUUAUAAAGAUACAUUCUUAAUAAUGUUUUGGUCAGCUGGAAUACAGCAGAAAAAUUAACACAGCUCAGAAAUAUCCAGCAUACAUUUUUUUUUUUUUUUUUAGUAGACACAAGGCAUACGAGAGUCAUAGUUACUCCUGCCGUUUACCCGCGCUUCAUUGAAUUUCUUCACUUUGACAUUCAGAGCACUGGGCAGAAAUCACUUCGCGUCAACACCCGCCGCAGGCCUUCGCGACCAACA